CCUACGGGAGGCAGCAGUAGGGAAUAUUGCUCAAUGGGGGAAACCCUGAAGCAGCAACGCCGCGUGGAGGAUGAAGGUUUUCGGAUUGUAAACUCCUUUUGUUAGAGAAGAUAAUGACGGUAUCUAACGAAUAAGCACCGGCUAACUCCGUGCCAGCAGCCGCGGUAAUACGGAGGGUGCAAGCGUUACUCGGAAUCACUGGGCGUAAAGAGCGCGUAGGCGGGAUAGCAAGUCAGAUGUGAAAUGCUAAGGCUUAACCAUAGAACUGCAUUUGAAACUGUUAUUCUAGAGUAUGGGAGGGGUAGGUGGAAUUCUUGGUGUAGGGGUAAAAUCCGUAGAGAUCAAGAAGAAUACUCAUUGCGAAGGCGACCUGCUAAAACAUAACUGACGCUGAUGCGCGAAAGCGUGGGGAGCAAACAGGAUUAGAUACACGAGUAGUC
rnacentral:rRNA from 1 species